UGGGGAAUAUUGCACAAUGGGGGAAACCCUGAUGCAGCAACGCCGCGUGCGGGAUGACGGCCUUCGGGUUGUAAACCGCUUUCAGCCAUGACGAAGCUUUUGUGACGGUAGUGGCAGAAGAAGCACCGGCUAACUACGUGCCAGCAGCCACGGUGAUACGUAGGGUGCGAGCGUUGUCCGGAAUUAUUGGGCGUAAAGAGCUUGUAGGCGGUUUGUCGCGUCGAAAGUGUAAACUCAGUGCUUAACGCUGAGCCUGCUUUCGAUACGGGCUGACUAGAGGAAGGUAGGGGAGAAUGGAAUUCCCGGUGGAGCGGUGGAAUGCGCAGAUAUCGGGAGGAACACCAGUGGCGAAGGCGGUUCUCUGGACCUUUCCUGACGCUGAGAAGCGAAAGCGUGGGUAGCAAACAGG
rnacentral:rRNA from 1 species